rnacentral:tRNA from 1 species
GCGCCAUUAGCUCAAUGGUAGAGCAAAUGACUCUUAAUCAUUAGGUUGGAGGUUCGAGCCCUCCAUGGCGCACCA